rnacentral:rRNA from 1 species
GAUGAACGCUAGCUACAGGCUUAACACAUGCAAGUCGAGCGGAGAGAGGUAGCUUGCUACUGAUCUUAGCGGCGGACGGGUGAGUAAUGCUUAGGAAUCUGCCUAUUAGUGGGGGACAACAUUUCGAAAGGAAUGCUAAUACCGCAUACGUCCUACGGGAGAAAGCAGGGGAUCUUCGGACCUUGCGCUAAUAGAUGAGCCUAAGUCGGAUUAGCUAGUUGGUGGGGUAAAGGCCUACCAAGGCGACGAUCUGUAGCGGGUCUGAGAGGAUGAUCGGCCACACUGGGACUGAGACACGGCCCAGACUCCUACGGGAGGCAGCAGUGGGGAAUAUUGGACAAUGGGCGGAAGCCUGAUCCAGCCAUGCCGCGUGUGUGAAGAAAGCCUUAUGGUUGUAAAGCACUUUAAGCGAGGAGGAGGCUGCUUUAGUUAAUACCUAGAGAUAGUGGACGUUACUCGCAGAAUAAGCACCGGCUAACUCUGUGCCAGCAGCCGCGGUAA